rnacentral:other from 1 species
AACCUAGCCGGCGUUGGAUAGUAAAUAUUAUUUAGAUCUUCACUGCGUUGCCGUAUUAUUCGUAAUUACCUCCGUCCUGUAGUAUUUAAUUUUUGUUUUUAUUUUCUCUCCGAAUUAUCGCCUCGAAAGGGCACUUUUAUUUUAUAAAUUUCAGGAUGUUAAUUAUGUCUAAUACUGUAACUGGUACUGUUAAAUGGUUUAACGAAGCUAAAGGUUUUGGUUUUCUAGAACAACAAGGCGGCGCUGAUGUGUUCGCUCACUUUAGUGCAAUCGUUAGUAGCGGUUUUAAAACUUUGACUGAAGGUCAAACUGUAGAAUUUACUGUUACUCAGGGCCCUAAAGGUCCUCAAGCAGAAAAUAUCGUAGCUGUGUAAUUUACAUAGCUCAUAAAAAACGCGCCUUCGGGCGCGUUUUUUUAU